AGAGGAGCUGCCUCCCCUGGGGCUGGAGUUACAGGUGGCUGCGAGCUGCAGAACCCGAGUACUGGAAGCUGAAUUCGGCUCCUCUGGAAAAGCAGCACGCCCCCCUAAGCCGGAGCCCUCUCUCCAGCCCCCGUCCACAUCCCAGCCCAUCUUAGUGUCUGUCCUCCGGGGAGGAAGAAGCGGAGCCGAGAACUGUGAGCACAAGCGAAUCCUCGCAUGGCCCUCCGGCAGCUCGGCUGCUCCGCAGUCAUCUUCGCCAGCUCUGUUUUAAUUCUCUCUGCAGCGCAGCCUCCGGCAAACAGGUUAAUGGCAUUUCUGGAAUUGGCUUCAUAAUGUGCAGUGGGGCACAUGGAAGAAUCCAUCAGAUGACUGUGUUGGAAGUGGAAAACGGGUUUAUACUACAUGGAUUAAAGCUGGAUUUCAACAACAGCAAGCUUACAAACUCAUGGAAACUGAACAGCUCUCUACUUAGUUACCACUGGGUCAGGAAGAAAUAGAGAAAGAAAUUAAAGACUUCCUAGAAUUCAAUGAAAACAAUGUACAACAUACCCAACGUAUGGGACACAAUGAGAGCGCUGCUAAGAGGAACGUUCAUAGCACCAAGUGCCUUCAUAAAGAGUUUGGAGAAAUCUCAUACCAGCAACUUAACAGCACAACUGAAAGCUCUAGAAUAAAAAGAAAUGAGCUCACCCAGGAGGAGUAGACAACAGGAA